rnacentral:rRNA from 1 species
AUUGAACGCUAGCGGGAUGCUUUACACAUGCAAGUCGAACGAGUGGCGGACGGGUGAGUAAUAUAUCGGAACGUGCCCAGUAGCGGGGGAUAACUACUCGAAAGAGUGGCUAAUACCGCAUAAUAGUGGAGCGGCAGAUAUCGGAUUAGCUAGUUGGGGGGGUAAAGGGUCACCAAGGCAAGGAUCCGUAGCUGGUUUGAGAGGAUGACCAGCCACACUGGGACUGAGACACGGCCAAGACUCCUACGGGAGGCAGCAGUGGGGAAUUUUGGACAAUGGGGGAAACCCUGAUCCAGCCAUCCCGCGUGUAUGAGAAGGCCUUCGGGUUGUAAAGUACUUUUGGCAGAGAAGCGGUAUCUGCAGAAUAAGCACCGGCUAACUACGUGCCAGCAGCCGCGGUAAUUC